UACAGAGGUCUCAAGCGUUGUUCGGAUUCAUUGGGCGUAAAGGGUGCGUAGGCGGCGGGGCAAGUCUGAUGUGAAAUCCCGGGGCUCAACCCCGGAACUGCAUUGGAUACUGCUCUGCUUGAGCACUGGAGAGGAGACUGGAAUUUACGGUGUAGCAGUGAAAUGCGUAGAGAUCGUAAGGAAGACCAGUGGCGAAGGCGGGUCUCUGGACCGAGACUGACGCUGAGGCGCGAAAGCGUGGGGAGCAAACAGG
rnacentral:rRNA from 1 species